rnacentral:lncRNA from 1 species
AUGGGUUGUUUUGCCUUGUACUUCUUGCUCCUGCUGUGGUUAUUACUUCUUCAUGAUGCUCUAAAAGCAGCUUCCAGUCCAACAGGCUGUGCAGGUCCACCAACUUUGUGCUGCUCUGGUAAAAACUCCAGCUGUUACAGGGGGUGUUUCUGUGACUCGUAUUGCCUGAUUUUUAACGACUGCUGUGCUGACUACAGCUUAACGUGCACAUCUUCGGUCACUAAACCACCAACAACUUCCAGCACAACAAGCAGCAGCACUACACCAGUAGUGUCUGCAACCACAGCAACUAGACAGGCGGGCAGGAAUACUUCUACAAGUGCAGAUGGCAGCACAGUCUCCGUAACAACAGCACACAGCAAUUCUUCAUCUACAUUACCAGAAGUCACAACAACUACAGCAUCCAGAGUUUUGGAUUCUACAGUGCUCCUCACAACAAUAAACACGACAACAUCUACAAUGGUGGAAGUGAGUAAGACGUCAGCAUCGACAGUUUCUGCUGACGUGUCAGCUACUGCAACAACCAGCCAAACGAGCAACAGUACACCUGCACCAGCAGAUAACAGUGCAAUCUCCACAACUAAGAGCAAUACUAACUCCACGCUAGCAGAUGUCAGCACAACAUUAGCACUACCACUCCCUCUUACCACAGAACCCAGUACACAAGCAGAUCUAACUCCAUAUUCAUCAUCGGAAGUCUCUCUAACAACAGCACCCAGUACAACAAGUAGCCCAAAUGUGUCCACACCACUAAGUGUGAGCACCACCACACCACCCAUAGCUUCUGCUACUACAUCAACCAUCCAAACGAGUAGUCACACUGCACCAGCAGAUGGUCUUACAACUACAGCAACACCAGCUACAGCAGAACCACUGACAGAAUCCAGGACAACUCUAGAUACUGGUGGUGUCACAUCUUCACCAGCACAUGAGACUCCAGAUUCCAGGACAACCACAAGGUCAAAUCGAGGCUUCAAAACCGUGACUGUCCAUCUAACGGCGUCUGUUUUAUUUCAUAAUGGGGAAAAUGAAGCUGGGAUUUUAGAGGCUUUGUCUAAAUUUCUGUCCGAGACCCUUUUCCAGCAGACCUGUAGUGACUGCACAGUGGUCAUCGAACAAAUCAGACGCACCUGA